rnacentral:misc_RNA from 1 species
GGAAUUUUGGACAAUGGGCGCAAGCCUGAUCCAGCCAUGCCGCGUGUCUGAAGAAGGCCUUCGGGUUGUAAAGGACUUUUGUCCGGGAGCAAAUCCCAGUGGUUAAUACCUACUGGGGCUGAGAGUACCGGAAGAAUAAGCACCGGCUAACUACGUGCCAGCAGCCGCGGUAAUACGUAGGGUGCAAGCGUUAAUCGGAAUUACUGGGCGUAAAGCGUGCGCAGGCGGUUGUGCAAGUCUGAUGUGAAAGCCCCGGGCUUAACCUGGGAACGGCAUUGGAGACUGCACGACUAGAGUGCGUCAGAGGGGGGUAGAAUUCCGCGUGUAGCAGUGAAAUGCGUAGAGAUGCGGAGGAAUACCGAUGGCGAAGGCAGCCCCCUGGGAUGACACUGACGCUCAUGCACGAAAGCGUGGGGAGCAAACAGGA